rnacentral:rRNA from 1 species
CGAGUGGCGGACGGGUGAGUAACGUCUGGGAAACUGCCCGAUGGAGGGGGAUAACUACUGGAAACGGUAGCUAAUACCGCAUAACGUCGCAAGACCAAAGAGGGGGACCUUCGGGCCUCUUGCCAUCGGAUGUGCCCAGAUGGGAUUAGCUAGUAGGUGGGGUAACGGCUCACCUAGGCGACGAUCCCUAGCUGGUCUGAGAGGAUGACCAGCCACACUGGAACUGAGACACGGUCCAG